CCUACGGGUGGCAGCAGUGAGGAAUAUUGGUCAAUGGACGAGAGCCUGAACCAGCCAAGUCGCGUGAAGGAUGACUGCCCUAUGGGUUGUAAACUUCUUUUGUAUGGGAAUAAAAUGUUCCACGUGUAGGGUGUUGUAUGUACCAUAUGAAUAAGGAUCGGCUAACUCCGUGCCAGCAGCCGCGGUAAUACGGAGGAUGCGAGCGUUAUCCGGAUUUAUUGGGUGUAAAGGGAGCGUAGGUGGAUUGUUAAGUCAGUUGUGAAAGUUUGCGGCUCAACCGGAAAAUUGCAGUUGAAACUGGCAGUCUUGAGUACAGUAGAGGUGGGCGGAAGUCGUGGUGUAGCGGUGAAAUGCGUAGAUAUCACGAAGAACUCCGAUUGCGAAGGCAGCUCUCUGGACUGCAACUGACACUGAGGCUCGAAAGUGUGGGUAGCAAACAGGAUUAGAUACCCCAGUAGUC
rnacentral:rRNA from 1 species